AAACAUUCACUUGUUUUCUAUUCUGUUAUAAUACCAGUUGAAUUUGAAGGCUUUGGGGUGCCUCAGGGUUCUAUUCUGGAUCCUGUUUUCUUUGUAUAUGCUGCCCCUGGGUUCCAUUUUUAGAAAUUACAACAUCCAGUUUCACUGUUUUGCAGAUGAUGUGCAAAUCUACUUGUCCCUUAAAUCUUAAAGCCU